AGAUGGUUAGUUCCUUGGCAACCACAGAGUCAUCCAGCUUGGGACAGAAAGCAGCAAGCUCCUCUUCACUGUCACUCCCAUCAUCUGUACCCUCCUGAUUAAUGGAUCGGCGACGUAGUUGCUUUUCCCUCUGCUUUGAUAUCAUGUAGCCUCGAACACUGAAGUCCAGCCGCUGCAGAGCUGGCUCUAACUUCAUGUACAUGCGGUGCCCCAG
rnacentral:lncRNA from 1 species